ensembl:misc_RNA Y_RNA Y RNA
GGCUGGUCAGAGUGCAGUGGUGUUUUCAACUAAUUUAUCACAACCAGUUACAAAUUUCUUUGUUCCUUCUCUACUCCCACUGCUUCACUCGACGAGCCUAAA